UACGAGGGGGGCAAAUGUUGUUCGGAAUCACUGGGCGUAAAGGGAGCGUAGGCGGGCUCUUAAGUUAGGUGUUUAAUCCCGGGGCCCAACCCCGGACAGGCACCUAAAACUGGGGGUCUUGAAUAGUGGAGAGGUCGGCGGAAUUGGGGGUGUAGCGGUGGAAUGCGUAGAGAUCCCCAAGAACACCAGUUGCGAAGGCGGCCGACUGGACACAUAUUGACGCUGAGGCUCGAAAGCAUGGGGAGCAAACAGG
rnacentral:rRNA from 1 species